AUUGAACGCUGGCGGCAGGCUUAACACAUGCAAGUCGGACGGUAACAGGGAGGAAGCUUGCUUUCUUUGCUGACGAGUGGCGGACGGGUGAGUAAUGCUUGGGAAUCUGUUUUAUGGAGGGGGAUAACUACGGGAAACUGUAGCUAAUACCGCGUAAUAUCGAGAGAUUAAAGUGUGGGACCGUAAGGCCACAUGCCAUAGAGUGAGCCCAAGUGGGAUUAGGUAGUUGGUGGGGUAAAGGCCUACCAAGCCGUCGAUCUCUAGCUGGUCUGAGAGGAUGACCAGCCACACUGGGACUGAGACACGGCCCAGACUCCUACGGGAGGCAGCAGUGGGGAAUAUUGCACAAUGGGCGCAAGCCUGAUGCAGCCAUGCCGCGUGAAUGAAGAAGGCCUUCGGGUUGUAAAGUUCUUUCGGUGGUGAGGAAGGUUGUAAUGUUAAUAGCAUUAUAAUUUGACGUUAGCCACAGAAGAAGCACCGGCUAACUCCGUGCCAGCAGCCGCGGUAAUACGGAGGGUGCGAGCGUUAAUCGGAAUAACUGGGCGUAAAGGGCACGCAGGCGGAUACUUAAGUGAGGUGUGAAAGCCCUGGGCUUAACCUAGGAAUUGCAUUUCAUACUGGGUAUCUAGAGUAUUUUAGGGAGGGGUAGAAUUCCACGUGUAGCGGUGAAAUGCGUAGGGAUGUGGAGGAAUACCGAAGGCGAAGGCAGCCCCUUGGGGGAAUACUGACGCUCAUGUGCGAAAGCGUGGGGAGCAAACAGG
rnacentral:rRNA from 1 species